UCGAGCUUUAUCUGAGAUUUUAUUUGAGUUUAAUUAAAUUUUACUUUAAAUGUAUCAUUCUGGCCUAAAGUUUUAUAUUCUCAAGCCUAAAAAGCUUUUUUACAACGUCUAGAUUUAUACUUUAAAUGAGCCUAUAACUAAAAAAUAUAUUUAAUGGUCUAUAUAUUUCAGACCAUAAUGGGCUAGAAUAACUGCGUUAUCCUGCCUUAGUACUCCAGGUUGUGCAAUACUAGAUCGUUCUUGUAUUUCAUCGCCUGUCCUGAACUAUGAACUAAUGAAUUAACAGACCAAGUUCUCCUAUGAUCUACCCACGCCGUACUCCUUGACGAGGAUGAUCUCUUCAAUCUAAAGAAAGUCUGAUAGAGCAGAUUCAAACCGACUGCAGAGUGUCUCCCUGCUGGGCACCAUCGUCUUCACCUCCCACAUGGAGAAGUCCUGUCGGAAGCGUCUUCCUUGCUUCUCUAAACCAGGACUGCUGCUAUUAAGCAGAUAAAGGUGAAGAUUAAAUAUGAAGCUGCUCUCAAGAUGAGAUCUAAUGUCUAACUUAAUCUUAUUUAGAUCUCAUCAUUGUCCUCAAGAUUGAGAUCUGAUGUUUAACUCAACCUUAUUCGGAUCCAAUCAGCAUCUAUCCGUACCUCCUCUCGGAGAAGUAUCCGUUCCUCCUUUCAGAGCAGUAUCCGUUCCUCCUCUCGGAGAAGUAUCCGUACCUCCUCUCGGAGAAGUCCCAUCGGAAGCAUCUGUGUUCCUCUAAACCGGGACUGCUGCUUUCGAGCAGAUAAAGGUAUAUAAUCAAGUUUCGUGUGAUCUUUG